AAGGUUUUAGCUUAAUUAAAGUGUCUGGGUUGCAUUCAGAAGAUGUAAGAUAAAGUCUUACAUAUCUUA
rnacentral:tRNA from 1 species